UGGGGAAUUUUGGACAAUGGGGGAAACCCUGAUCCAGCCAUCCCGCGUGUGCGAUGAAGGCCUUCGGGUUGUAAAGCACUUUUGGCAGGAAAGAAACGUCAUGGGUUAAUACCCCGUGAAACUGACGGUACCUGCAGAAUAAGCACCGGCUAACUACGUGCCAGCAGCCGCGGUAAUACGUAGGGUGCAAGCGUUAAUCGGAAUUACUGGGCGUAAAGCGUGCGCAGGCGGUUCGGAAAGAAAGAUGUGAAAUCCCAGAGCUCAACGUUGGAACUGCAUUUUUAACUGCCGGGCUAGAGUGUGUCAGAGGGAGGUGGAAUUCCGCGUGUAGCAGUGAAAUGCGUAGAUAUGCGGAGGAACACCGAUGGCGAAGGCAGCCUCCUGGGAUAACACUGACGCUCAUGCACGAAAGCAUGGGGAGCAAGCAGG
rnacentral:rRNA from 1 species